AGGUCCACGAAUAUUUUCCUCCCCUCUUUUCCCAGUUUUCCUUCGUUUUCCAAUCAUCCAAACACGAAGCAAAACAAGUCCUUUUAUUUAAUUACAUUCUUCCCUCUCCAAUUCUCAACGUGUUCACUUACUAUAGGAUUUCCUAACCUACCAAUUCAUUUAAAAGGUGGUGGUAAGCGAUGGACAAGAUUUUGUGCCUUUUUUGUGAAAAAUUAUCGAAAGAAGUGAGCCUUAGAUCUCGCGGGCAUCACGGAGUUUGAAAGAGUUAGAACCAAAUUCAUUCAAGGUGCAUUAUGUAAUCCUUUUGGGUACCAAAUAAGUUGCUUUACUAAUUGACAACUUAAAAAGGGAUUUUGCUGCCAAUGUUUCUGUUCUAUCGAGAAGAAAAUUGUUUCCAUUUCUAUGUUGAUUAAUUAUACUGCUUUUCCCUGGAAGCAUUUUUUCUGUUCUGUUUGUUGCAUGGAAGGAGCCCUUUGAAUCGCCUCAGACUGUUGCUUCUUUUGUUUUAUGUAGUCAUGGCUGAUCAUGCUUUAGUAGUAGCUGAUACUUCUCAACC